GCUUCCAUAGCUCAGCAGGUAGAGCACUUCCAUGGUAAGGAAGGGGUCGUCGGUUCAAAUCCGGCUGGAAGCU
rnacentral:tRNA from 4 species